rnacentral:misc_RNA from 1 species
GAAAUGCGAUAAGUAAUGUGAAUUGCAGAAUUCAGUGAAUCAUCGAAUCUUUGAACGCACAUUGCGCCCCCUGGUAUUCCGGGGGGCAUGCCUGUUCGAGCGUCAUUUCACCACUCAAGCCUCGCUUGGUAUUGGUCAACGCGGUCCGCCGCGUGCCUCAAAUCGACCGGCUGGGUCUUCUGUCCCCUAAGCGUUGUGGAAACUAUUCGCUAAAGGGUGUUCGGGAGGCUACGCCGUAAAACAACCCCAUUUCUAAGGUUGACCUCGGAUCAGGUAGGGAUACCCGCUGAACUUAAGC